UCAUACCAUAUGCGUGUCUCCAAAGU
rnacentral:piRNA from 1 species